UCCCUGGUGAUCUAGUGGUUAGGAUUCGGCGCUCUCACCGCUGCGGCCCGGGGUUCGAUUCCCAGUCAGGAGA
rfam:Ophiophagus hannah scaffold793.1, whole genome shotgun sequence.